UUAUUUUUUUCUGUACUUCAUAUAAACCAAUUUUUUGUUCUUAGACUAUCAGGAAAUCUUCCCUUCAGCCCACUCUGCUUUAAACCACCCCAAAAAGCACAACCUAGCUCAGUGCAUAAAUGGCAGUGUUAGUGAACACAAUGCAGCCUCUGUGAUACAAUAAAGUAUAUAACAGAGAAUAGUUCAGUUACACUGCACAAGAGAGGAAAAUUAUAAUCUGAUAUAAUUAAUAGGUGCAUGUUUUUCUCCAGGGGCAGAGAUCAAAAUAUUCAAUUUGCCAGAUUUAGAGUAGCAAUGUUGCCAAGACACUUAUUCUUGGAAAGUGGGGCCACACAGUAUUAAUGCUUCACUCCUUUGAUCCAAAAGCUCUGUGCCCUUUCUAUAACCUUGGAUUGAAAUCAUGGAUUUUUUUUUUUUAAUUUUAAACUUGCCUUCUUUUAGCAAGAGCCCUUGAAAGGUUAUGAUCUUACGGAAGAGGCAGAAGAACAGGGGGAACAGUUCCUUAUUUAGUAUAAUCCAACACUCGCAAAAGUUAAUAGGGAGCAGGAAAUCAUCAAGGAACAUGUUUUGGGGAGGAUUUUGGUUUUUGCAUCUCUUCAGUGUUUGGUUAAUGUUUUUGCAAGAAAAAAAAGAAAAGGAGACAAAGCCUUCCUGGCUCUGGACACCAUGUCAGGGCAAUGCCCAUGAAUGGAACAGGUUGCACUGGAUUUUCGUUUCGAAACCCUGUAGUUUAUAGCUGAAUUUAUGAACUUAAAUAUCACCCCGAUUAAAUUUCUUCCAUCAAUUUGAAGUCUAUGUUCAAUUAUCUCAGCUCCUUAUAUUAAAUGUGUUGUUUGGUUGUUUAGGAGACCAAAAAAAAGGGGGGGCAGGAUUUCUUAAACUGCUUUAUAAAGAGAGGCAGACAGUAUUCUCAUAUGAACAUUAAAGCUAUUACAUCUCUUUUGGUAAGAUAGAGAGACAGCCUGUGACAAUCUUUCCCAAUUUUCCCUGUUAACUCCCACUGUGUUGUGUUCUCUGUAUCUCCUGAUAAUUUUGUGUUCCACUGUGUCUUCAUACAACUGAUGAUAUCUAAUUUGUUCCCUGCGCAUGUAUUUCAUAGGUUCCAAAAGAAGAUCUGCAAGUUAAAGACCUGGAGGAGAAGUUUCAAAGCCAGAAAUGUUUCAGAAAUGGCUGGUGGCUGUGCAUGGGACUGAGAAGCAUUCUGCAAUCAGACUGCCUUGAAGUAAGUCUUUCAGACUGACUAUCCCGUUUGAUGUAGACAGUGAACCAGGUAGCUCUUUGGCAUUGUUCCAAGUGUUUGAGCAUUUCACAGAUGACAGGGUAAAUACAGCAAAAUUUGUGCACCUUAAGGCAAGCUGCUACUGUGCUUAACUUUCAGACACUUACAUUCACAGAAAACGUGACAAUACCAAGUUUCACUGCACAUCGCUUGUAGGUUCCCAGUUCUGAAUUCACACUAUGCAGUGGGAAAUACCCAUUCUGUGUAUGUCACAUGGAGAAUCAGGUGCCUGGGAUUCACCACAACCACAGUAGUGAGCGGAAAGUCUCUUAAACUGACAAAGAAUGACUGAAGCACUUAUAUUGUAAAAUUUCCCCUGUCUCAGCAGGUAAGGAGUCUAAGUAUGGGCUGUAAGGCAGUAUUUUUUGUGGUUUGGGCGUCACAGCCUGGUUCUCUUUCAAGCUGAGCACCUCAGCCAUCUUUUCAAGGGGCUGAAUGAGCUCCUUUUUUUUUUCUUUUAAUUUAAAUGAUAGAGCAGUAUCUUGAUGAUGAUAUAUAUAUGACAUGUAGUAUAAUAUGUAAUAAGCACAUUUUAAUGUCUAAUGCUUUAAUACAUGUGUUAUGAAUAAUAACAACAAUAAUACACAGCAGGCACCUGGUGAUGUAUCUUCUAUAUCUCUUACAUCCCAGCUCCACUACUUAGAUUAUACGUGCUUGUCUGAGGCACCAGGAUAUGUCUUAUUAAAUCUGGGCUGUAGGCAUUUACAUCAGGACCAACCACCUUUGUACCCCUCUGUAAUGGAGAAAGAUACCUUUAGGAUCUCUCUCAUCUCGUCCUAAAAUAGGUUUCUAAAUUUUACUGGCAUUGCCAGACAUCUUCAUUGUACCAAACGCUUUAGUGGACAUCAGGAGUCACACUUGGCUUCAGCAUGGACUCCAACUCUUUUGACACUGCUUUGGUUGCUCCUCAUGUCUUUGCCAUCCCAAGUGCUUUAAGUACUUGUGGAUAACACCAAGUCACCUAGGCUAAUUCUAGUCUGAAAUCUUUCAGGUAUAACAACAGAUAUUAAUAAAUCUGAGCACUAUUUCCUUAGUUAAAUUUCCUCACAAGACUCUUGGUUCCCUGAUGUCUCAGACACAUAAGAAAACUAAUUGCACAUCAUAAGGGAAGUCAAUCACCUGGCUUCCUAAGUGAUACUUCUGAUCUACUGAAAUUACUUCUCCAAAAUCAUCAAGGGCGCUAGGACUCCAGUUAACAUCCUUAAUAUCUCUUUUCAGUGUAUGAGCCUAGGUCCUGAGAUGAUGCUAAUUUGAACAUCUACGUUGAGUUAGUAGUCCUGGGCAUGUUUAUCAAGCUGGUGAUGUGGCCCAUGAACUCUGUGUAAUUUCCCAGUAUCUUUCACAUCACUUUGUACCUUUUCUCUUCCUCAUCUAUCCCUCUUUCUCAUAUCUCUCUCAUUGCAAGAGAACCUGAUCAUUUGAACAUCUUUAAAGUGUAAUACAUUAAAAAGAAACGUUGUUGGCCUUUAAAGUACUUUAUAUCACUUUAAAUCACACUACCAUAGCAAUGCUGCAAAGAAUGCCAUCUAAUUUACAUAAAGUCACCCAAAGGUUAAUUAGUAUAUGGAGGUUAAUUUCCAAAAGAAUGCACUAGGAAAAAAGCGGCAAAAAGCAAUUCUUUCCUUAAUUGGUUUUGUACACACCUCAUUCUAUGUUUUACAAAUGUACUCUAAUUUCUGUCUUCAUUUUCUAGGAAGAUUGCAUGUCAGGGAGAAAGGAAGUCUGUCACUGUGUCUGUCUGAGUGGUUACUUGCUGACCUUUUGUUGCAGAAUAGACUAUUUGCAAACAUUGCCGUCACAUGCCAUCGCAAUUGCAUGGUGGGCACUGUAAUGCUACAUUUGCAUGCAUCAUCUGCAGUGGAACAAAAAAAUAAUUCCCAAUUGUCUCUCUAAUUGUAUAACUGGUGGGAAAUGUUGAUACAAACAUCACAUUAGAAAUAGUACAUGUCCCCAGCUCUGUCCACAUUGCGGAAUGGAGGGAAGGUGUUCACCUGGUAAGCCCACAUGUCAAGAGGAAAAGCAGGACAUUUAAUGUUAGUAGGGAGGGGCAAAAGUGAUUAUUUUUCUGGUUGGAAAUAAAUACUCUGAGGGAAUAUCAGAAACUGUCCUCAGGUGACAAAGGAAGAAGGCAAUCUCGGAGCCUUGCUGGAUUCCCCUCUAAUUUUGGAUACCCAGAGCUGUAUAUUGGCUCUAUGUCCAUUUCUGGAUUCUGUGACUUUAGUGGAAGUGGUUAUGCUUUUCUACAAGAGCUUUAAUGGACACAGUACAGGUUAAUUUGAAGACACUACUCCUCUCAGCAGUAAUAGGAUUAUGUUCUACUAUGAAGAUUGAGAAAACAAUCUCAAUCUUUAAUAAGAGCGUUUUUAAUAAGAGUUAUUAGCAUUUGCUGAAACUAGACAUCUGCCCAACCUUGAAUCUUGAUAACCUAGAACUGCUUAACAAUGUUGAGUUUGGCUUUUGAAAUAUGUGUUAGAAGCCUUGUAUUCUUAGAGGCUUUGAAGCUAUUCUAACCCCAAAAUACGUCUUUCUCAGAAGCAAGUAGGAGAAAUCCCUACAGCAGGAUUGAACAGCAGUAGCAGACGAUAAAGACUUCAGUUUUAUUUCUGUCUUCUCCACCAAGCUGUUUAGACACCUGAUAAAGAAAUUCCAGUGGUGGAGCCAAGGAUCUACUCAAGCUCAUGCUAGAAAUGGAACACCUCCCGCCCCUGGAUGCAGUGUCAAAACCAUGGGCACAUCGCACUGAACAGCCUACGCUGCCUUCCUGACCGCUCCUCUCCUCUCUCUGCAGUAGCAAGGGGGUGGCUUCAGUACUGCUCCUUGCAAGGAUGAAGUGGAUUUACCAUUCUGUAAAUGUUAUUUCUGGUAAACAUUUCUGCAGAGGCUGCAUAGAAACCAGACUUGAUGCAAACAUUUCCAUGAUGAGUGGAUAUAUAGUCAUACAGCCUCUCCUGGGUCACAUGAAACUAGAUGUUACAUUUGGCAGUGGUAACAAGGUAAUCAGAGCUCUUCCAUUUUCCUUGGUCAUGAAUAAAUCCAUCCUUGGCAAGUAAUAUCCCUGUGUUCAUUCAUAAGUUGUAAUAUAAUAAGAAUACCAGCAAAAACCAUUGAACUUAUUUAUUCCAUUUACACAUCCACUCUUCCUUAUUAUUCUUGGUGCCUAGGAAAAUGUUCUUUCUCUUCCUUUAAACAGCUCUUGUCCAUUGUUGCUGUUUACGAUCUCCUUACUGUUGCUGAGGGUUCUCCUAUUCCCUCCCUGUCUUUGUUUAGCAAAGCUAAAUGCAUUUCGUUAUUUUAAUCUUUCUUGAAAAGUCAAUCCCUUAAUUAGAAUCUAUGGUUGUGGAGUUCCACUGGUGUCUGCAGGCUAAACACCACUAAGGCUGUUUUCCUACUAAUUGUGCUCACAGACAGGACAUUUGUUACUAUUGUUGAUGGCAUUAAUUUGUUUGUUGGUUUGGGUUUUUUUUAAAGACUGUUUAUCUAGGUAAAAGGCAGAAGGCAGAAUUCAUUAAAUCAGAUUUUCAAAGGAUUAAAGCCUACAAGGCAUAGAAAGUGAUGAUUUUGUUGGUUGAGAUUUUAAACUGAAACAUGCAAAGAUAAACCUAAAAGCCCAGGGUUUAGAGAUUGAGCACAUCGAAAUCUCUCACUAAAACACAGAGAUUUUACGAACAUGCUUGUAAAAGAAGGCUGUCAAAUGCUGAUCCACUCUCUCUCCUACUGAUUCCUAAUUAGCAUCAAAAAAUGUGGAAACAAUCCUUCAUUCCCAAUCUAUCAAACACAUUUUGCUAGAGACAUUUGGAGAUUCAGUGGGAAUAACAGUAAUGCCAAAAAAAAAAGCUUACCUUGUCUUUUCUCACUUUUGUCUCCAGUUUUGCUCACUAAUCACCCUGCAUGCAAGUUUUUAGGAAAAGGAUUUCACUCUUCUAGCAUGCAAUCAAAGAAAUCAAAGAACCUUUACACAGACAUCACAACAACUUCUUGAAGUAAGUUUUGAGGGGCUUCUUAGUGCAUAAUUUCUUUCUGUGUACCUCUUAGGGAUGUAAAUUUUUUACCCAUGCAAUUGCUUUCCACACUACCACACAUAAAGGCAAUAAAUGUAAUAACAACCUACCUGAG